AAGAUGGGGUUGUAGCUCAGCUGGGAGAGCACCUGCCUUGCACGCAGGGGGUCGGGAGUUCGAUCCUCCCCGGCUCCACCAAUAAUUAUCACACAUCCGGAUUUAGCAGAUGAAAAUGCAUUCGAGUCGUUAGUCGAGUGUCUUUUUAUCUGGAAUAUCCAGAAGUUCAUUAAAAAUAUGGUAAGAAAAAAUGAGGUAACACGAGCGUGCAUUAGUAUGCGUAGAGAUAUGUGUAUAAAUGAGGUUAUAUGAUUUUGAUGUAUUGAGGUUAUAUGGUCAAGAAGAGAAGCGCAAACGGUGGAUGCCUAGGCAGUAAGAGGCGAUGAAGGACGUGGAAUCCUGCGAAAAGCUCUGGGGAGUUGGAAACAUACGUUGAUCCAGAGAUGU
rnacentral:rRNA from 1 species